UUUUGUUCCUGAGGACUCCUUCCUUCCCUCACAUGCUGCUUAUCUGGGUGAAGAAUCGUGGCUGGAAUUUAUAAAUGCUUCUCUGUUGUGCAAAGGAGCUUUGAUAGCAUGAAAUGAAUAACAGGACAAUGAUUGCUGUCUGAGCAGGCUGGCCUCGUAGGGACAGGUUUCAAGUGGCUGCUGUGUGGGAUACUGGCAGGGCCUGAAGGAGAUGCUCAGCACCCAGCAUUACAGGAUUCUGCUUUCUUCUUGACUUUGGUUCUGCUUUUUAAACACUGACCUCAGGAGAAGCUCUGCAGCAUGAGAAGGUUAUUAUGGGAUUGGACACCUUGAGUCCCUUGGGGUAAAUUGCUACAGUGUCUCAGUUAAGUCCUUGUGUUCUGGUGAAAACAGUGGAGCUUGUUCUCAGUGGUGUAGUAUCUGAGCCAUCGAGUUUAAUGAAUCGUUACAAAUAGUUUAAUCUGCACUUGCAGGUGCUAUUAAAAUGGACUGU